AUUGAACGCUGGCGGCAUGCCUUACACAUGCAAGUCGAACGGUAACAGGUCUUCGGAUGCUGACGAGUGGCGAACGGGUGAGUAAUACAUCGGAACGUGCCCAGACGUGGGGGAUAACGAGGCGAAAGCUUUGCUAAUACCGCAUACGAUCUAAGGAUGAAAGCAGGGGACCGCAAGGCCUUGUGCGUUUGGAGCGGCCGAUGGCAGAUUAGGUAGUUGGUGGGAUAAAAGCUUACCAAGCCGACGAUCUGUAGCUGGUCUGAGAGGACGACCAGCCACACUGGGACUGAGACACGGCCCAGACUCCCACGGGAGGCAGCAGUGGGGAAUUUUGGACAAUGGGCGAAAGCCUGAUCCAGCAAUGCCGCGUGCAGGAUGAAGGCCUUCGGGUUGUAAACUGCUUUUGUACGGAACGAAAAGGCUCUGGCUAAUACCUGGGGCACAUGACGGUACCGUAAGAAUAAGCACCGGCUAACUACGUG
rnacentral:rRNA from 1 species